rnacentral:rRNA from 1 species
GACGUAGGAGGCGAGCGUUUAUCCGGAUUCACUGGGCGUAAAGCGCAUGUAGGCGGUUGUGUAAGUCGUGUGUUAAAGCCCCUGGCUCAACUGGGGGAGGUCAUGCGAGACUACACGGACUCGAGGGCAGCAGAGGCACGUGGAACUCCCGGUGUAGCGGUGGAAUGCGUAGAGAUCGGGAAGAACACCCGUGGCGAAGGCGGACGUGCUGGGCUGCAUCUGACGCUGAGAUGCGAAAGUGUGGGGAGCAAACGGG